GGCUCGGUAGCUCAGUGGUAGAGACAGUCCUGACAGUCGUUAGGCUUUUGAAAAAACCUAACGACUGUCAGGACGUCGCAGGUUCGAAUCCUGUCCGAAGGCUA